rnacentral:rRNA from 1 species
UACGUAGGGGGCUAGCGUUGUCCGGAAUCAUUGGGCGUAAAGCGCGCGUAGGCGGCUCGGUAAGUCCGCUGUAAAAGUCAAAGGCUCAACCUUUGAAGGUCAGUGGAAACUGCCGGGCUAGAGUCCGGAAGAGGCGAGUGGAAUUCCUGGUGUAGCGGUGGAAUGCGCAGAUAUCAGGAGGAACACCAACGGCGAAGGCAGCUCGCUGGGACGUGACUGACGCUGAGACGCGAAAGCGUGGGGAGCAAACAGG